rnacentral:sRNA from 10 species
GCCGGGCAUGGUGGCUCAUGCCUGUAAUCCCAGCACUUUGGGAGGCUGAGGUGGGUGGAUUACCUGAGGUCAGGAGUUCGAGACCAGCCUGGCCAACAUGGUGAAACCCCAUUUCUACUAAAAAUACAAAACUUAGCUGAGUGUGGUGGCUCAUGCCUGUAAUCCCAGCACUUUGGGAGGCUGAGGCGGUGGAUCACCUGAGGUCAGGAGUUUGAGACCAGCCUGGCCAAUAUGGUGAAUCCCCAUCUCU